GUGCUUGUUUCGGCAGCACAUAUACUAAAAUUGGAGAAAUGUGGAGAAGAUUAGCAUGGUCCCUGCUCAAGUAUGGUACACAGAUUGGUGAAGCAUUCUGUAUUUUU
ensembl:snRNA U6 U6 spliceosomal RNA